UAUGGCCAUAUUAGAUAGAAGCACUGGUUUCUAUAUGAUCACUGAAGUUAAGCAAUGUUGAGCCUGGUCAGUACCUAGAUGGGUGACUGCUUGGGAAUACCAGA